CGGAAAAGAGGAAGACCCUCAACAAGAUGGAUUGACACAGUGGCUGCAACAAUGGGCUCAAGCAUGACAAUGAUUUUAAGGAUCUCGCAGGACCG
rnacentral:snoRNA from 1 species